rnacentral:rRNA from 1 species
ACGGGAGGCAGCAGUGGGGAAUAUUGCACAAUGGGGGAAACCCUGAUGCAGCGACGCCGCGUGAGUGAAGAAGUAUUUCGGUAUGUAAAGCUCUAUCAGCAGGAAAGAAAAUGACGGUACCUGACUAAGAAGCCCCGGCUAACUACGUGCCAGCAGCCGCGGUAAUACGUAGGGGGCAAGCGUUAUCCGGAUUUACUGGGUGUAAAGGGAGCGUAGACGGUAAGGCAAGUCUGAAGUGAAAUGCCAGGGCUCAACCCUGGAACUGCUUUGGAAACUGUCCUACUAGAGUGCAGGAGAGGUAAGUGGAAUUCCUAGUGUAGCGGUGAAAUGCGCAGAUAUUAGGAGGAACACCAGUGGCGAAGGCGGCUUACUGGACUGUAACUGACGUUGAGGCUCGAAAGCGUGGGGAGCAAACAGGAUUAGAUACCCUGGUA